rfam:Candidate divison MSBL1 archaeon SCGC-AAA382K21 AAA382K21_Contig_3_C, whole genome shotgun sequence.
GAGCCCGACACGUCAAACCAUCUAGUGGAUGGUUCGGCUCGGGCGCCGACGAAGGUCAUGGCAAGCUGUGAUAAGCCUGGGCGAGGUGCAUGCAGCCCUUGAACCCAGGAUUGCCUAAUGGGACAUCCUGUCAUGGUAAACCCAUGGUGUUCGCGGCAGCGAACGGGAACCCCGCGAAUUGAAACAUCUUAGUAACGGGAGGAAGAGAAAGCAAGUGCGAUGCCCUUAGUAACGGCGAGCGAAAGGGGUAUAGGGCAAACCGAACCUGGUCGAGAAAUUGACUGGGAAUGUGGUGUUGCAGGACUCGAUCGCCACCUCCUCGAUGAAACCGAAGUCCACUGGAACGUGGCGCCAAAGAGGGUGAAAGCCCUGUAGGUGCAAAUUGAAAGGUGUAGGAUUGAGUAUCCUGAGUACCGUGCCUCGGAUAUGGCGCGGAAAGCUGGGAGAAACAACUCCCAACCCUAAACACGUCCCGAGACCGAUAGCGAACGCAGUACCGUGAGGGAAAACUGAAAAGUAUCUCGAAAGGGAGAUGAAAAGAGCCUGAAACUAGAUGGUGAUAGAAGGACGUGGCUUUAAAGGAAGGAUCCUCUUCGAAGGAAUCCGUGGCGACGCGGUAGUACGAGAAGAGAGGACCAUAGUCACGUCUUCCGUUGGGAAAUACGGUCCAGGGAGUUGUUUUCUGUGGCGAGGCUAAGGAGUUCAACUCCGGAGCCAUAGCGAAAGCAACAUGCCCGCAGCCUCUUCGUGAGGUCAGGGGCGAGGUGUGAAAGCACCUGGAGUCACAGGGAUCAGACCCGAAACCAGGCGAUCUAGCCCAGGGCAGGGUGAAGCCAAUCCUCGGAUUGGUGGAGGCCCGAACCGUUUCUGCCGUUCAAUGCGAUCGGAUGACUUUGGGCUAGGGGUGAAAGGCCAAUCUAGCCUGGCAACAGCUGGUUCCUCCCGAAAGUGGUCGCAGCCAUGCCUAGCGCGAGGUAGCUAUCGGUGUAGAGCACUGAUUGGCGAGUUUGGAGGGAGACCUCUGGCUCACCUGUCAAACUCCGAAUCUGGUGGCGCCUAAGACCGCUGGAGUCAGGGCGCAGGGGGUAAGCUCCUGCUCCGAAAGGGAAACAACCCAGACUGAGGUUAAGGCCCCUAAAUGCCGGCUAAAUGUUAAGUUGAAGGAAGUCUCCGUUCUGAGACAGCGGGAAGGUAGGCUUAGAAGCAGCCGUCCUUUAAACAACGCGUAACAGCGAACCCGUUAAGGGUGGAGGCACCGAAAAUGGACGGGACUAAGCCGGCUGCCGAUACCCCAGGACAGGUGAAGAAAUAGUAGCCUGAUUCCGUAGGGAGGCAUCCGGCGAGGGUAGAAACACGGUCUUAAGAUCGUGUGGACCUCGUUGGAAAGAGAACCCUGGAAGUAGUAGCAGCAAAGUAGGGUGAAAAUCCCUACCGCCGAAAGGGCGCGGGUUCCUCGGCAAUGUUCGUCAGCCGAGGGUUAGCCGAUCCUAAGCUCUUCCUUAACACGAGGAGUGCGAAAGGGAAACGGGUUAAUAUUCCCGUGCCACCUGAGUACCUGCCGUAAGGCAACGCUCGAAACCUGACGCUUUGGGAUACGUCGAGUAGGAUGAUCUUCCUAUUUAACCUUUGAAACCCGGGGAGAGCCGUAAUGGCGAGAACCGGGUGAAAAAGGGAAUAGCCUACCGAUAUGGUGGGUUCGGCGAAUUCCUGGAGCUCGUGAAAAGGGAUUCGGGACUUGGAAUCCCAGGUGACCGUACCUAGAACCAACACAGGUGCCCCUAGGUGAUUAGCCUAAGGCGUGUCGAGAGAUCCCAGGUUAGGGAAUUCGGCAAAUUAGCCCCGUACCCUUGGUAUAAGGGGUGCCUGCCUUGUGGAAAGGCAGGUCGCAGUGACCAGGGGGGGCCGACUGUUUAAUAAAAACAUAGUCAACCGCGAGUCCGAAAGGAUGAGUACGGUUGGUGAAUCCUGCCCAGUAGCGGCUUGUCAAGCAGAGUUACAACUCUGUGAAGCGCUGUCAAACGGCGGGGGUAACUAUAACCCUCUUAAGGUAACGAAGUGCCUUGCCGCUGAAUUGGCGGCUUGCAUGAACGGACCAACGAGCCCCCCACUGUCCCAAUCUGGGUCUCGGUGAACCUACUGUCUGGCGUAGAGACCAGGCACUCCCGUAGGGAAGCGAAGACCCCGUGGAGCUUAACUGCAGGCUGCCGUUGGAGUUUGGUUGGUGGUGUAAAGUGUAGGCGGGAGCCUUCGAAUCCAGACCGCCAGGUCUGGUGGAGGCAACCAUGUAACACCGCCCGCUGUCGACCGAGUUCCUAACUACUUCGGUAGAACAGAGGCAGUUGGGCAGUUUCGCUGGGGCGGCAGCCCCUCGAAAAUUUAUCGAGGGGGUCCAAAGGUCGGCUUAGGCGGGUCAGAGAUCCGCCGUAAAGGACAAGGCCAAAAGCCGGCCUAACUGUGUCAUUAUCACAGGAUGACGCAGGGGCGAAAGCCAGGCCUAGCGAACUCCGAGGUCCCUCUUGUUGGGGGUUCGGAAUGUCGGAAAAGCUACCCCGGGGAUAACAGAGUCGUCUCCCCCAAGAGCCCGUAUCGACGGGGAGGCUUGCUACCUCGAUGUCGGUUCUUCGCAUCCUGGCCGUGCAGCAGCGGCCAAGGGUAGGGUUGUUCGCCCGUUAAAGCGGAUCGUGAGCUGGGUUUAGACCGUCGUGAGACAGGUCGGACGCUAUCUUGCGGGAGUACUGGAUGCCUGAGGGCAGGGUAGCUUCAGUACGAGAGGAACGAGCUGCCGGCGCCUCUAGUGUACCGGUUGUCCGAUAGGGCAUAGCCGGGUAGCCACGCGCCAGCCAAUAAGGCCUGAAAGCAUCUAAGGCUGAAGUGGUCCCCGAAAAUAGGCAUCCGAUCUUGACGAAAAUGCCGGGACUGGUGACAGUCACGGUACGUCAGGACAAAGGCAGGGGCUAGAAGACCCCGUUGAUGGGCCGGGGGUGUACGCACGAAGCUUCGGCGACGUGUUCAGCCCACCGGUACCAAUAGCCUGAGGUGUCGAGCUC